rnacentral:rRNA from 1 species
GACGAACGCUGGCGGCGUGCUUAACACAUGCAAGUCGAACGGAAAGGCCCUGCUUUCAGGGUACUCGCGUGGCGAACGGGUGAGUAACACGUGGGUGAUCUGCCCUGCUCUUCGGGAUAAGCCUGGGCAACUGGGUCUAAUACAGGACAGGAGCCAUUUUGAGUCUGAUGGUUGGAAAGUUUUUUCGGGGUAGGCUGAGCUCGCGGCCUAUCGGCUUGUUGGUGGGGUAAUGGCCUACCAAGGCGGCGGCGGGUAGCCAGCCUGCGUGGGUGGACGGCCACCUUGGGACUGAGGGGCGGCACAGACUGCUACGGGUGGCAGCUGGGGGGAAUAUUGCAGGAUGGGCGCCAGGCUGAUGCAGCGACUCUGCGUGGCGGAUGACGGUCUUCGGGUUGUAAACCCAUUGCGCUAGGGACGAAGCUCGUUGUGACGGUACCUAGUUAAGAAGCCCCGGCUAACUACGUG